rnacentral:lncRNA from 1 species
UCUAAAGGUUGUUCUUAUGUGUUUUUUUGUGAUGUAAUUGGAACAUGCUGGAAAAUGAGGAAUUACUCCUAAAUGAGAAUGGAAGAUCCUAAAGACUCUAGAGAUGGAGAGAGUUCUCUCAGAUAGGCUGUCAUGACAGUUUAGAAGUCUACCCCACCAAGCAAGCCUUUCUCCAUGACCAAAACAUCAGGGAAAGGGUGGGCCACAGAUGCCAUUUCCUGAUUCAGGGAAAGCACCUAAGAUCUUGGAGAGGAGCUGUCCUACAACACAGUCUCAUUUCUUGCUGCUUGUUUUUAUUACACUACUUACAGUGGCCGAGUUGCAAAGGAAGUCAUGGAAUCAAGUGCUAAGAUCAAACGGGAGCCACCGGAAAUACACAGAGCAGGGAUGGUUCCCAGCCGGAGCUGUCCCUCCAUAACCCAUGGCCCAAGGCUGAGCAGCGUCCCCAGGACCCGCAGAAGAGCUGUUCACAUCUCCAUCAUGGAAGGCCUAGAGUCCUUACGGGACAGUGCCCAUUCCACACCAGUGCGUUCCACUUCCCAUGGGGACACCUUCCUGCCUCACGUGAGAAGCAGCCGGACAGAUAGCAA